rnacentral:misc_RNA from 1 species
GAUGAAGAACGUAGCGAAAUGCGAUACUUGGUGUGAAUUGCAGAAUCCCGUGAACCAUCGAGUCUUUGAACGCAAGUUGCGCCUCAAGCCAUUAGGUUGAGGGCACGUCUGCCUGGGCGUCACAUAUCGUUGCCUGAUGCCAGUUUCCUCGUGAUGGGUGACUGUGCAGGGCGAAUGAUGGCUUCCCGUGAGCAUUGUUGCCUCAUGGUUGGUUGAAAAUUGAGUCCUUGGUAGGGAGCGCCGUGAUAGAUGGUGGUUGAGUGACGAACGAGACCCAAUCAUGUGAGACCCCUACCGAAUUUGGCCUUCAUGACCCGCAUGCGUCUUUGGAACGCUCAUGACGAGACCUCAGGUCAGGCGGGGCUACCCGCUGAGUUUAAGCAUAUCAAUAAGCGGAGGA